rnacentral:lncRNA from 1 species
AUCACUCGAUUAUUGAGGAAUCUAACCAUUCUUGCCAUAUGGCCAUUUCUGGCAAUCUCAAACCAAGGUGAUUUUAUGUAAAUUGACGAGCAGAAGUCAUCCAUAAAUUUGGAUCAUUGAAUCGGUGCACUGUAAGGUGAUUGGAACAUCUAUAGUCAGCAAACAAUGCCUGCAGGCAAUUUUUUGGCCCCUUUCUCUUUCUCUAGUUAGUAAGACAUUGUUUCAGCUAAUCUGUGCCAUUGGAAAGAGUCUGGAGGAAGAAGGAAUGAUUUAACCUAAGGAACUACAUUUUCCUUGAGGUACGAAUUUUAGCCAAAAAAUUAUUCCAUAACUGUCCCAAAAGUAAGAGAAGUUGAUUGUCGAAUUAAAUGAUUUCUUUAUAUGCAUUAAGAGAAUAUGCCUCCUGAAGGAGAUGUUAUAUACAAUUGAAGAGUCAACAGACCUACAAAAAUGUACAAGGUUGAAGCAAGUGCACUCAACUACAAAGGACACUUUGAUGGAAUAACAAUUCUUGAUUGAAACAAAAGACUCAUUCAAAAAUAAAAGAAAAGAAAAAAACAAGAUAGAAAUGAAAGCGAAAUCGAGAUUGGCAUAACCUAAUAUAAUUAAUUAUAGACAUGAUGCUUUCUAUACUUCUGACAAAAUUGUUAUAUAUCUACAUUCUGCAUUUUUGCAUAUAAUUAUUGUAUAUAAUUAGCUAAAAAUUCAUCCAGAAUCUGGUUGAUAUAGUGGUGAAGGUACCCUUCUAAGUAAUUAUCACCACAGAUAAAAAUUGAAUACUUGGAUAAGAAAACAAAGCACAACACGUGAAUGAUGCUAUUGAUUUUAAAGAACUAGUGUAGUAGCCCAGUUCUCCGGGCUAAUGGGCCGGCCUGAGGAGGCCAGGCCCAUCUUCCCUUUGAUCGUGGUCGACCGCGAUCGGUCGGCCGAUCGCGGGAGGUGGAGAAGAAACUCCUAGCUCCCCGAUCGUGCCGGUGACUCCAAGAGACUCUUGGUAAUCCAACUACAAGUCGGGUGAGAUUAGGGACUUGGUUCCCCAUCUCCGCCGUUGAAUCCAUCGCAUUGUCCUCGAAGAAAGCCGCUAGAUUUAAGCUCCUCUUCCCGAGCUUCACCAUCGAUUUUUCGCCGGAAAGGGACGCCGGACCGAGGUAAGUGUUCCUCGUCCUCUUCCUCCUUGUUUCCUGGUUCGGUGAUUGA